rnacentral:antisense_RNA from 1 species
CUUCAACGACCCCAACCACAGUGGACGAUCCGCGUCGCGAUCCUGUCCAUAGGUGGCCAGCAGCGCCUGGGCUUC